rnacentral:ncRNA from 2 species
ACGUGUCUUCAGGGCGGGGUGUGACUCCCCACCGGCGGUAUAGUCCGCGACCGGCCACCUGAAAGGGUGUCCGUUGACCCGGUGAGACUCCGGGACCGACAGUGAAGCCUCCUAAGACAGGAGGUAUCAGUCUGGAUGGAAGAAGAUUCUU